rnacentral:lncRNA from 1 species
GGAGCUGUGGUGUGGAAACCAGGAGCUCAGUACUUCUGAAGGGGUGAGGGGAGGGUCUUAUGCUGGUCAAGAGUCACCUCCAAGUUCUCCCCUGAGCUAGCAGCCUUGGUUUUUAGGGCCUAUUGAAAUUUUCCUGGGCACCUCCAUCUUUCCUACAAACAGUUUUUCAAACUAAGAGAACCCUUUACUGGUGGGAGGAGGGAGAGGGAUAGAAGGGAGGAAUUCUGUACUUUUCUUGCACUGUUCAAGAGGCCUUGAUAUCACCCCUGCCACAGGGAACUCGGGUGUGGCAGAAUUGGGAUUAGACAUGGGAGGCUGGGCUGUCUUUUCUCUGAUGGCAGAGUUAGGACCUGACCUAGCACAAGGAGCCAGCUGUGCGGAGGUGUCCUCUGACCUCUGCUCCGAGUAGCUGCCGCAGCCCUGCAUGGGUGGGAUGUGGGGCUGGGCCCGUCAGGAUCUAGUGCAGAAAAGGGAAGUGGGUGCUGACUGCAUUCUUAGAGGCGAUCCUUCAAGGAAGACAUUGAAUAUCAAUGAUAAAUUAUUAAGUCAGGUAAAUAUGCCUGACCUUUUCACAAUUGAAAAAAAAAUUUCUUCCUCUGUCAAAUGCCAGAUUUUUAGUGGAAAUGCUAAUGGCAUUGGGAAAGGUUAGCGCUUGUUUCAGUUUCAGAGAAACAGUGCUUUUUAAUGAUUGCCAUACCUGGCAAGGCCACCAUGUCCCUGCUUCCCAAGCAGGCAGCGAGGGCAAACCGGGCCUGAUUCUGGCUGCAUGCAGAGCCAGAGCUGGCCCCAACUCAGCUGUCAUCCCUUCCUAAUUCCAGUUGCAGGGUGCCUACCCUGCACCUGGGGCCAUUCACAGGAACAGAUUAUAGAGGAGGCUGAUAGAAGCGUUCAAAAUGGAUGGCCGAACCACUUUCAGAGACUGUAGCUGGAGCUGGGGGAGAGGAGGUGGUGAAAUCACAGGUUUGACCUGUCCUGACCUCAGAUCUAUCUCCCUCCUGGGAAUGGUAUGGAGUGGAAAGAAUGUCGAGCCACUCACCAAGAAACCUGGGUCACAGCCUGGGUUCUGCCCUCAACCAGCUCUUAACAAACCUCUUCACCAGCCCCUCCCCUUCAAGAUAGACCUAGUAUUUCCCAUCCAACUCGAUUCACAGGCUUUUGUGAGGUGAUAAGUAUGGAAGCAUUUUCUAGUUUAUGAAACACUAUCAAUGUCAGGGAUUAUUGACUAUGAAACACUAUCAAUGUCAGGGUGGAGUGUACCUUGCCAGGCUAUUCGGACUUGAUGCUGAUGGUCAGUUAUGAUUGGUCUGGGACAUCUCUCCACUGUUUAGUAAGAGUGAUGAUUGACAGCACUUUCAGUCCUGCUUGUGGGCCCAGCAUCUUUCUAAAAACACUUUGCAGUGAUUCUCACUUUGUCCUCACAGUGAUCUCACAGUUAGCCUCCAUUUUACAGAGAAGAAAACCGAGGCUCAGAGAGGUUAAAUAAGUCGCUGGGUGACCUUGUAAGUCAAGCCCAUCUGGUUCUAAAGUCCAUGAUGUCAGCUGCUGUGUUGCCUUAGUGACCCGGCUACUUUGGCUGGCUGCCAGCUUAUCAACAGUUUGCAGCCAUCCAGACAACUGCUUUCCUACCUCCCCUGCAGUUGGGGUGCCCCACUGAGCACCAGGUUCUCUUUGGAGUCAGUCUGUGCCUUUUCACCCCAAGGAGGGCCCUGUGCAUCACAUUUGCUUGUGGCGUUCCGAAGCACAUGCAGUGUCUCUGUGACCUUUCAUUCUCAUUGGGAUUUAUCUUGCCAUUUGAAGAUCAUUAUUUUGGUGAGGCUAUUCCAGAAAAAGUGGCCCAACCCUCACAGGGAACAUAGUUCCCUCAGGGUCCAAUAUCUUCUGAUCUUUUUUUUAAAAGAUGUUUUAAAAUAGUUGUGCUAUCAUUUGUUAUCAGAAAAUGCUUGCUGUAACAAGCACUUAUCUGCUGGAGUGAAUGCUCUACUGAUCAAGUUAAACAGAUAAGAUCCCCACCCUUGUAGAAACUACAAUUUAAUACACUCUAAGGCUUGACAAAUGACUAGUAUUUAUUUUCCAACUCCUUUAUCUCUGUAAAAUGAUAUGCCGAAUUACUAUAAGCUAAUUGGUGUAGAAAGAGCUCUUCCCUUAACUUAUGUAAACAGUCUGGCUUUUGAAAACAGCUGUGGUUCAGCAAGUUCAACACACUUUGCCUUCCCCAAGACUGCAGAAAAACCCCUCUGCCUGCCCUGGUCAUCACUGUGUAUUCAGCUCUGGGCACACUUUCUUUUACUUGUUUUUAAUUUUUUUUUUUCAUUUUUGGAAAAAAUUAAUACACAUACAUGGUAAGACGUCCAAACAAUGCAAAAAGAGAAUACAAUGAAAAGUAAGCUUCCCAAUGGAGGUCAGCCUUCAGUUCCACAUCCCCCUCUUCAGAAUUAAUCACUGUUUCUAUAUCUUAUGUAUCCUUCCUGAGCAAUUCUAUGCAUUUACAAGUUUUUAAAUAUGUAUAUUUAUAUAUCUAUUUUUAAUACAAAUGGUAGCAUUC